rnacentral:rRNA from 1 species
UGGGGAAUUUUGGACAAUGGGCGCACCCCUUUGAUCCAGCAAUGCCGCGUGCAGGAAGAAGGCCUUCGGGUUGUAAACUGCUUUUGUCAGGGAGGAAAUCUUCUGGGCUAAUACCCCGGGAGGAUGACGGUACCUGAAGAAUAAGCACCGGCUAACUACGUGCCAGCAGCCGCGGUAAUACGCAGGGUGCGAGCGUUAAUCGGAAUUACUGGGCGUAAAGCGUGCGCAGGCGGCUUUGCAAGACAGAUGNGAAAUCCCCGGGCUCAACCUGGGAACUGCAUUUGUGACUGCAAGGCUAGAGUACGGNAGAGGGGGAUGGAAUUCCGCGUGUANNAGUGAAAUGNGUANAUAUGCGGAGGAACACCAAUGGCGAAAGCAAUCCCCUGGGCCUGUACUGACGCUCAUGCAC